AUUGAACGCUGGCGGCAGGCUUAACACAUGCAAGUCGAACGAGCGGCGGACGGGUGCGUAAUGCUUGGGAAUGUAGGUUAGGGAGGGGGAUAACUAGUGGAAAAGGUGGCUAAUACCGCAUACUAUCGGAUGAACCCAUAUGGGAUUAGCUAGUAGGUGGGGUAAAGGCUCACCUAGGCGAAGCUCACUAGCAGGUCUGAGAGGAUGAUCAGCCACACUGGGACUGAGACACGGCCCAGACUCCUACGUGAGGCUGCAGUGGGGAAUAUUGCACAAUGGGCGCAAGCCUGAUGCAGCCAUGCCGCGUGUGUGAAGAAGGCCUUAGGGUUGUAAAGUACUUUCAGCGAGGAGGCGUUACCCACAGAAGAAGCACCGGCUAACUCCGUGCCAGCAGCCGCGGUAAUAC
rnacentral:rRNA from 1 species